UCAGACAGUGUGGGUCCCUUUGGUACUUGAUAUGUGGGAAGUGUAUCUCUAGAAGUUAAAGACUUGGAACUCAAAAGCUCCUCAUCGUUCUUCUCUUUCUCAGCAUUCCUCAAACGAAAUUCUCUCUCUAAAAAACUUUUUUCUUCAUUUUUCUUAAACACUGAUUCUUUUUCUAAAACAUGCAUCGGAUCCCCGUUCGUGAAGGUCCUAGUUUGUGAAGUUUGAAUAGGGUACUUCGUUGCAUCAGGUAAAGAGAUGAAGUCCAAAUCUGUAAGAAAUGGAAGAGUGUGGGAAGGAGGGAAAGGUUUGAAGUCGUGCAAGGUUUCAUUUCCAAAGUAAGGACGCAAUAAAGAAACAUGGAAUACCGGGUGAACACGAGAGGAAGAGGGAAGAUCCACAUGUAAGAAACUUGACUGAUGCGUUUAAUGAUGGUGAACGGUCCACAGAAUCGGGACGCAAGCUUUUGUGAUAGAAAUUUAUGGAAGGUUUGUUGAUGAUACGGAUGAAGCUUCAGUAAAACUCGAUCUCCGACUUGAAAGGGUGUCUUCAACUAAAGUUUCUAAAGUGGAUCCGUUGACAUAGUCCGACAUAGAUGGAGAGUGGUAGGAAGUGUUAUACCAGUAUUCUGCGUGAUGAAGAAAUUUGUACCACUUACUCGGCUGAGAACUGACAAAACAACGAAGGUACUGAGGAACAGGGGGUCCCGAUCUGACACAAUGGAUUUGGAUUGACCAUGAAGACGUGUGAUCUCUACUGUGAAACGCUUAGAAAGAUCUUGUGCGGAAAAAUGAGAAGGCAUCGCGAUGAAGUGUGCGGACUUCGUGAGGCGAUUGCAAAUGACCCAGAUUGUGGUGCGUUCAAAAGAGUUAGGCAGUUUGGUGAAGAAGUCCAUUGAAAUGUCUUCCCAGGCUUGUUUCGGUAUACAUGUUGACAUACUUUGCACAUCUUAAUCAAACUCUUUGCUUCUUUGUAUACUCCUAGCCAACUGAAAGAGGUGGAGAUACGAGCUAGUGUGGCUUUUAGACCUGAAUGUCCUGCUGUUAGGGUAGCAUGAAACUCCCAAAGAAGAAUGGAACGGAUCUGGUUUAUCUCAGGUAUAAAAAAAUUCCUUUGUAAAAUAGUAAGCCGUUUGAAAAUUUGUAUUCUGUAUGAUUAGUAUCACUAAGGAGUUUCCUGACAAUUUCUUUACUUGUUUCAUCAUUUGCAUAAUAUGUGCGCAAACUGGAAAGGAUAUCUGGGAUUGGGAAGGAAAUGGCAAACAACAUGGGCUCAUCUACGGUGUAUUUCUGAUUCAGGGCGUCUACUACCAGAUUGGAUUUUCCAGCGAACAUAUCUCGAACAUAGGCUGAAGCCGCCUGCAUUCGAUGGCAUAUAUUUUUGCUAAAGAAAGCAAUUGGAUGACCGUCCUGGAACAACACCGCACCAAUGGAGACCCCUGAAGCAUCUGUCUCCAUAAUGAAUUUUUUUGUAAAGUUAGGUAGCGAUAAAACCGGCAUGUCGGUUAUUCUCUUUUGUAAUUCUGUAAAGGCUGUGAUCACCUCUGUACCCCAAACAAAUUUAGUGGAACGUAAGAAAUCGGUGAGAGGAGCGACGAAGGAGGCGUACUGUUUCACAAAACAACGAUAAAACCCGGUGAGGCCCAAAAAUCCUCAGAGAGUCGUGAGCGAACGUGGUUGAGGCCAAUCCAAAAUGGCCUUAAUCUUGUCUGCAUCUGGUGCCACUGUGCCCAUAGAGAUAACAUGUCCAUGGUAAUGGACCUUGGAGACUACAAACACACAUUUUGACAACUUCACAACAUAAAAAUUGACGCAGAGUCCGGAGAUCCAGACUGUACUGGUAACAAUUAAAUUAUUAUUGGUUUUGUUUCCCACUAAUUUUUGUACUAUAUUACUGUUUUCAAAUCUUUUCCUUUCUUUUCAAAUCUCUUUCUUUCAAAUCAAAUCUUAACUUUAUUCCAUACACUUUCUUUCAAAUUCUACUACCACUCAAACUUUAUUUUUUUUUGUACGGUAUCACUUCAUUCCUCAACGUCUCCAUCCUUCUUUUCACUCUAUAUAUACCCCUAAUUUUUCCAUAAAUUCUCACAUCAAAUUUCACUCAUCUCCCAAAUUUGUAUCAUACUAUCUCAUAAUUAUUUUCUCUUCUUCCCCGACAAAAAUGGCAAAGUGGGUGGAUACGUUUUUUCUUGUUGUCAUCACUGUUUUUGUGGUGAUCAUGUCCUUUUUCUGUCUGCAUAGUCCUGAAAAAUGCGGAUCUGGGAUGCUUGCACUCCCGUACAUCUAUAUAUUGUUGUUUAUAGCAUGGGUUUUUAAUCGUCAUACUUAAAGUUUGUCGUAUCUUUCGCUUUCAAAUAACGUACCGUUCAUUAUAUUUGUCGUACUGUUCGUUAUAUUAUGUAAUAUUUGUACUGUCAGUAUUAAAUAUUGUAUUGUCUAUUGUACUGUCACUUAAUUAUCUAGAUGAUAUUAUGUGUGUUUAUUGCUAGUUAAA